rnacentral:rRNA from 1 species
UGAACGCUAGCGGCAGGCCUAACACAUGCAAGUCGAGGGGUAACGAUGGAGCUUGCUCCAGGCGACGACCGGCGCACGGGUGAGUAUCGCGUUUGUAACCUACCUUUAACUGGAAGAUAGCCCGAAGAAAUUCGGAUUAAUAUUCCAUAACACUAUAGUUUGGCAUCAUUUUAUAGUUAAAGCUCCGGCGGUUAAAGAUGGGCAUGCGUAACAUUAGCUUGUUGGUGAGGUAAGAGCUCACCAAGGCUACGAUGUUUAGGGGGUCUGAGAGGAUGGUCCCCCACACUGGUACUGAGACACGGACCAGACUCCUACGGGAGGCAGCAGUGAGGAAUAUUGGUCAAUGGGCGAAAGCCUGAACCAGCCAUGCCGCGUGAAGGAUGACGGCCCUACGGGUUGUAAACUUCUUUUGUACGAGAAGAAACCACUCUACGUGUAGAGUGCUGACGGUACCGUACGAAUAAGCAUCGGCUAACUCC